GGAUCCAGACUUUGAUUCUGGCUCAGGAUGAACGCUAGCUACAGGCUUAACACAUGCAAGUCGAGGGGAAACGACAUCGAAAGCUUGCUUUUGAUGGGCGUCGACCGGCGCACGGGUGAGUAACGCGUAUCCAACCUGCCCAUCACUUGGGGAUAACCUUGCGAAAGUAAGACUAAUACCCAAUGAUAUCUCUAGAAGACAUCUGAAAGAGAUUAAAGAUUUAUCGGUGAUGGAUGGGGAUGCGUCUGAUUAGCUUGUUGGCGGGGUAACGGCCCACCAAGGCAGCGAUCAGUAGGGGUUCUGAGAGGAAGGUCCCCCACAUUGGAACUGAGACACGGUCCAAACUCCUACGGGAGGCAGCAGUGAGGAAUAUUGGUCAAUGGACGAGAGUCUGAACCAGCCAAGUAGCGUGCAGGAUGACGGCCCUAUGGGUUGUGAACUGCUUUUAUAAGGGAAUAAAGUGAGUCUCGUGAGACUUUUUGCAUGUACCUUAUGAAUAAGGACCGGCUAAUUCCGUGCCAGCAGCCGCGGUAAUACGGAAGGUCCGGGCGUUAUCCGGAUUUAUUGGGUUUAAAGGGAGCGUAGGCCGGAGAUUAAGCGUGUUGUGAAAUGUAGAUGCUCAACAUCUGAACUGCAGCGCGAACUGGUCUCCUUGAGUACGCACAAAGUGGGCGGAAUUCGUGGUGUAGCGGUGAAAUGCUUAGAUAUCACGAAGAACUCCGAUUGCGAAGGCAGCUCACUGGAGCGCAACUGACGCUGAAGCUCGAAAGUGCGGGUAUCGAACAGGAUUAGAUACCCUGGUAGUCCGCACGGUAAACGAUGGAUGCCCGCUGUUGGUCUGAAUAGGUCAGCGGCCAAGCGAAAGCAUUAAGCAUCCCACCUGGGGAGUACGCCGGCAACGGUGCAACUCAAAGGAAUUGACGG
rnacentral:rRNA from 2 species